GCCUUUAACUGUCCAAAUAAAUCCAUUUCUUCUUUUUUCCCCUAGAUAGCAUUAACUAUUGGUACCGCCAUCUAACGUAUCAUUAAGUUGUGAAAAGGGAAACGGUAAAGAACAGAAGGGGUUAUACCCCAACACGUUUGUUCUCCUGUGUGCCUUUGCUAUUGUUCUAUUGAGACCUCUGCUCACAUUCCACACAGACAACCUUUGACCUUGGUCUCUCAGCCCCUCAGCUUUAUGAUCCCACAAGGUCGGCAUAGAAACAAAAAGAUGCUGGAGUGCCAAGGGCACCGGGGAAUUCACCUCUGCUGAAGAUCGCCUCCUCCUCUGACUGGCAGGACCUCUGUCCCUCCACUCUGGAGGCCUCGCUGCUGCGUGGUUGCCUGAGAACAGGGAAAGGCUGUCCCAGGAGAAGGGAUGAAUCACUCUAAUCGGAUUGACACAGCAAAGACCCCAAGUCACGGCUGACCCAUGAAGAGCCAGCUAAGCAUGAUUCAAUCCUAAAUUAGGAUGCGGAAGGAGCAGAGGAACAGCCCAAACGUGCUCUGGUCUAAGCAUCUACCUGCUCCCGUGCAUCUCCACGGAGCCUUUGGGUGGACACAUUCGUGCCCUUCAAUGAGGCUCUCCGUCAUCACGUGGCCUUUCCUUAUGCUCGGCCACGUGUAAGCUGUCAAACUAAAUGAAAGGGAAGAGAAAUCCCGCGCUAGAUCAGUAGAUAAGGAGGCCUGAGGGUAAGCCACGUGGGCCGCACUCCUACCGUACAAGCCGGCAACUGCGUCACUAAACCUCUGGAACCGGCCGUAGAAUUGAGCUGGUGCCUGAGGGGGAGGAGUUGUGUGUUCGUUGUCUGUGAUGAUGAUGUUCCACAGAUGUUCCUGACCUGCUCACUCUGUACACCCUCCCUCCGGAGGCUUAGUCACCGCUGUGGAGGGCUCAGUUACCAUACACACCGUCUGCAAAUGCCCAAUUCCAGAUCCUUAGGUCAACAGUCUCUCCUAAGCUGCGCUUCACUCAACAAACACGGAGAGAGAACCUGCUGUGCGAGGCCCUCACCAAGCCAACGGACAACACAGGGAAGUGGGGCCGGCUGGCACGGCUCAGUUGAUCUGAAAACACCGAAGUCUUGCCUUCUUUCCUGGUGUGUGUCCAUCUUCCAGACAGUCCAGUCAUGGAGUAAAUGGAUGAGAUUCUCCCACCAUACCCUCCCUACCACUGAUCCAAACCGUUAGAGCCAACUGGACACAGACAGAAAUCUCUAUGACUAUGAGACAAAAUAAAGCAAACCUUUCUUCCUUA